AUUGAACGCUGGCGGCAUGCCUUACACAUGCAAGUCGAACGGUAACAGGUCUUCGGAUGCUGACGAGUGGCGAACGGGUGAGUAAUACAUCGGAACGUGCCCGAUCGUGGGGGAUAACGAGGCGAAAGCUUUGCUAAUACCGCAUACGAUCUACGGAUGAAAGCGGGGGAUCUUCGGACCUCGCGCGGACGGAGCGGCCGAUGGCAGAUUAGGUAGUUGGUGGGAUAAAAGCUUACCAAGCCGACGAUCUGUAGCUGGUCUGAGAGGAUGAUCAGCCACACUGGGACUGAGACACGGCCCAGACUCCUACGGGAGGCAGCAGUGGGGAAUUUUGGACAAUGGGCGAAAGCCUGAUCCAGCCAUGCCACGUGCAGGAUGAAGGCCUUCGGGUUGUAAACUGCUUUUGUACGGAACGAAAAGCCUCUUUCUAAUAAAGAGGGGCCAUGACGGUACCGUAAGAAUAAGCACCGGCUAACUACGUG
rnacentral:rRNA from 1 species